rnacentral:rRNA from 1 species
UUUAGUGAGGAAUACCCUCGAGAAAUCGAGGUUAAUACUGCAUACGUCCCUACGGGGAGAAAGGCCGCUUUUAUGCGGUCGCUGAAGGAUGAGCUUGCGUACUAUUAGUUAGUUGGUAGGGUAAAGGCCUACCAAGACUAUGAUGGUUAACCGGCCUGAGAGGGUGUACGGUCACAUUGGAACUGAGACACGGUCCAGACUCCUACGGGAGGCAGCAGUGAGGAAUAUUGCACAAUGGGCGAAAGCCUGAUGCAGCGACGCCGCGUGGAGGAUGAAGGUUUUCGGAUCGUAAACUCCUGUUAAGUGGAAAGAAAAUGCGUCUUCUAAUAAAAGAUGUAUAUGACGGUACCACUAGAGAAAGCACCGGCUAACUUCGUGCCAGCAGCCGCGGUAAUACGAGGGGUGCAAGCGUUAUUCGGAAUAACUGGGCGUAAAGGGUGUGUAGACGGUAUAUUAAGCUUGCUGUUAAACCCUCCGGCUCAACCGGAGAUCAGCAGUGAGAACUGAUAAACUAGAGUAUGGAAGAGAGAAGUGGAAUUCCCGGAGUAGCGGUAAAAUGCGUAGAUCUCGGGAGGAACACCGAUGGCGAAGGCAGCUUCUUGGUCCAUUACUGACGUUGAGACACGAAAGCGUGGGGAGCAAACAGGAUUAGAUACCCUGGUAGUCCACGCCGUAAACGAUGAUCACUGGAUGUCGGUUCGACUCUGUCGGAUCGGUAUCGAAGCUAACGCGUUAAGUGAUCCGCCUGGGGAGUACGGUCGCAAGAUUAAAACUCAAAGGAAUUGACGGGGGUCCGCACAAGCGGUGGAACAUGUGGUUUAAUUCGUCGCUACACGAGGAACCUUACCUGGGCUUGACAUGCAUUUGACCGCUGUGGAAACACAGUUUUUUUAGGCUUCGGUUUAGACAGAUGCACAGGUGCUGCAUGGCUGUCGUCAGCUCGUGUCGUGAGAUGUUGGGUUAAGUCCUCUAACGAGCGCAACCCCUGUUAUCAGUUGCGACUGCCUUCGGGUAAAGCACUCUGAUAAGACUGCCUGGGAAACCAGGAGGAAGGUGGGGAUGACGUCAAGUCAUCAUGGUCCUUAUGUCCAGGGCUACACACGUGUUACAAUGGCCGGUACAAAGGGUUGCAAGACCGUAAGGUGGAGCUAAUCCCAUAAAGCCGGUCUAAGUUCGGAUUGAGGUCUGCAACUCGACCUCAUGAAGUUGAAAUCGCUAGUAAUCGCAUAUCAGUAACGGUGCGGUGAAUGCGUUCUCGGACCUUGU